UAUAAAAUGACACCGGAAUAAGUGAUCUUUACACCAGUCUUAAGUGCACCUCUGCAGCGCCCCCCUGCAAACAACUAGAGCAUGAGAAUUCAUCUUAUUACAAAAAAAGAGGUCUAAUCCAUUGCAGUAAAAUUGUGCCAGAAAGGAGCUGCCGACAAAAUGAAGAGGAUUAUGGAUGGAUUACCUGUGUUCUGACUCAUGGAUGGAGAAUAUGACACCUGAUGUUGAGGACUUCUGUUGGAUGGAGGCUAUAAAGGUCACGUUCAACCAGCUGUUAGGGUUCUGUACAAGAUCAGACAAGAUCGGACAGACGACACCCCAGUCAUCGGGUGUGUCUCGCACAGGACGCCAGUGAAGCUAGGGCUGCCAUUAAUCAGACUCCUGGAUGAUGUCAAACAGGUGCAUCUAGAGGCGGUGGCUUUAGGUGCCCGGGCACCAGUCCUUUUGCCCUAGAUGCCCAAGGAGGGUUAGGGUUUUCGAAGGAAGCCAAGGCAAAAACGUGGAGGACCCAAGUGCAGGGAAGCAGGGAGGCAAGGCAGGGUGCAGGAGUCUCAAAAAAUUAAUAUUUAAUCUCCAAAAAAGGGCAAACAAGGAACAAGGAUAAAGCAAACUAAACAAAGUCCCACAACAGAUAACCAAAGUAACAAAGAAACGCUUGAAUAAACCAAAAAUGGAAAGAAAACAUGACUGGUAACCAAGAUGUGGCACAGACAGAGACAAUGACACCUGACAAUGACAUACUACAAUUAACCGACCAGAAGUGAAAGAAACCAGGGAACUAAAUACAAACAGAUUGAAGAGACACCUGGACAAGACACGAGUGGCUGGAGGGAACCGAUUGGUCGACACAAGAAACAGGGAGAGCACAUUUUCAAGUAAAGGAGGCCAUUUAGUGCAUAGGAUAAUGCAGCACUCCCUUGGGGAAAUUCAGCCACCAUCGUUCUCUGCUUGGCCUUCAACACCAAAAAAACAGCAGCUCAAUUAUAAGGUAAUGAGCACCACCUCAGCCCCCCUGGAAUGGGGGGCUACAUUUCCUGUAGCCAAUCAGCACUCUACUCUGCCUGCAUUUAAGCCUCCUUAAUCCGAGACUCCACUGCCAGAGUAUUAACGUUCUCCCGUGUGCUCCUCCCGUGUUCCCCGCCGUGUUGACCUCUUGCACCACGCCGCCAAGCCGUCCACCUGCUCACGCUACCUCCUGCCACACGUUCCCUGUCUUGACAACCCGCCAGUACGCCUCUAGGAUCCAUCUCCAUAUCGUCUUCAAUAAACCUUUCACCACAAACCUCUCAGCCUCCGCUUGCUUCUGGGUCCAGUGAAAAUCGAAUCGUGACAUUACUUCUGGACCUUAU